UCGCGCUAGCUGGGGAGCUGGCGGUGCCCUAUUACCUGCAAUCCGCCUUAGCAGGGGUGAAUUCCUGUCCGAGGCUCAUCGAGUGUGAGGUUUGGGCUGUCUGAUCAGUGUUGAUGGAUUGGGUCCUACGCAACGGGAACUUCUGAACCGUGUCAGGUCCGGAAGGAAGCAGCACUAAGGGAGACCACCCGUGUGCCGUAGGGGUGCCUGGUCUUAGCUGUGAUGACAGUGUCCGCUCAGGCUUGAUGUGUCAAAGUCAGGUGCGCGA
rnacentral:SRP_RNA from 1 species